rnacentral:rRNA from 1 species
UCCAGACUCCUACGGGAGGCAGCAGUGGGGAAUAUUGCACAAUGGGGGAAACCCUGAUGCAGCGACGUCGCGUGGGUGAAGAAGCGCCUCGGCGCGUAAAGCCCUGUCAGCAGGGAAGAAAAUGACGGUACCUGAAGAAGAAGCCCCGGCUAACUACGUGCCAGCAGCCGCGGUAAUACGUAGGGGGCAAGCGUUAUCCGGAUUUACUGGGUGUAAAGGGGGCGUAGACGGCAGAUCAAGUCUGGAGUGAAAUCCCGGGGCUCAACCCCGGAGCUGCUCUGGAAACUGAGAAGCUAGAGUACUGGAGAGGCAGGCGGAAUUCCUAGUGUAGCGGUGAAAUGCGUAGAUAUUAGGAGGAACACCAGUGGCGAAGGCGGCCUGCUGGACAGCGACUGACGUUGAGGCUCGAAAGCGUGGGGAGCAAACAGGAUUAGAUACCCCCGUA